GAAAAAUCAAAGUCAAGACCCAAAUUCCAUAUCUAGAGUGGAUGUUUGGAUCAAAGGACAUGCAAGACAAAAGGAGAAACCUGUCAAUGAAGCGCUUCAGGAAGCAAUGGUGAUCAGGCACGUGACCAGGCUCAGUGAUGAUUGCCUGGAGAUCAGUUUUGUCGACCAACCUUUGUGCCUCCCGAAGAGGUUUCGGAAAAAAUCAAGUGGUUGAGUUUGGUAAAACAAGUUAUAAGUUUAAGACUUUUAUUGUUUUGUGAAUAGUUAUUUUGUCUUAUUAUAUGUGUAAUGUCAAUGUAAGAUGAACGUUUACAUGAUGUCACAUGUAAGUUUAUGUAUAUAAAGUUUUAACUUCAUGCCCCAUGUUUGUCGACACAACUCAAUGGACUACGUAUGUUUAAUAUAUUUGCUUCCGCUAGCUC